rnacentral:rRNA from 1 species
GACGUAGGGCGCGAGCGUUGUCCGGAUUUAUUGGGCGUAAAGAGCUCGUAGGCGGCUUGUCGCGUCGAAUGUGAAAUCUCGGGGCUCAACUCCGAGCUUGCAUUCGAUACGGGCAGGCUAGAGUUCGGUAGGGGAGACUGGAAUUCGUGGUGUAGCGGUGAAAUGCGCAGAUAUCAGGAAGAACACCCGUGGCGAAGGCGGCUCUCUGGGACGGUACUGACGCUGAGACGCGAA